rnacentral:rRNA from 1 species
AGAGGAGCCAAGCGUUGUCCGGAUUGACUGGGCGUAAAGCGCACGCAGGCGGAUGUGCGCGUGGGGUGUGAAAUCUGGCCGCUUAGCGGCCAGGCGCCAUCCCAUACGGCACGUCUGGAGGGCUGCAGAGGUCGAUGGAAUUGCCGGUGUAGUGGUGAAAUGCGUAGAGAUCGGCAGGAACACCCAGGGGGAAACCAGUCGACUGGGCAGCAACUGACGCUGAGGUGCGAGAGCGUGGGGAGCGAACCGGAUUAGAUACCCGGGUAGUCCACGCCGUAAACGAUGGCCACUCGGCCUUUGGGGGCGGAAUCUCCGUUUCUGGGGGCCUUAGCUAACGCGGGAAGUGGCCCGCCUGGGAACUACGAGCGCAAGCUUA